CUUGCAACACCGUCUGUGGGCUCCUUCGAAUCCUCUGAGCGUUAGCUGCUCUCUUGGAGGACAAAGGGGCGUCUUCGUGGAGAGACUGGGAAGGAUUUCUCCGACGUGUGGGGUGACUGAAGUCAGUACGAAGCCGACCUGACGUUCCCCCU
rnacentral:lncRNA from 1 species